rnacentral:rRNA from 1 species
CAGCACCUCAAGUGGUCAGGAUGAUUAUUGCGCCUAAAGCAUCCGUAGCCUGCUUUGUUAGUUUUCGGUUAAAUCCAUACGCUCAACGUAUGGGCUGCCGGGAAUACUGCAAAGCUAGGGAGUGGGAGAGGUAGACGGUACUCGGUAGGAAGGGGUAAAAUCCUUUGAUCUAUUGAUGACCACCUGUGGCGAAGGCGGUCUACCAGAACACGUCCGACGGUGAGGGAUGAAAGCUGGGGGAGCAAACCGGAUUAGAGACCCGAGUAGUCC